rnacentral:rRNA from 1 species
UACGUAGGGCGCAAGCGUUGUCCGGAAUUAUUGGGCGUAAAGAGCUCGUAGGCGGCUUGUCACGUCGGGUGUGAAAGCCCGGGCUUAACCCCGGGUCUGCAUUCGAUACGGGCUAGCUAGAGUGUGGUAGGGGAGAUCGGAAUUCCUGGUGUAGCGGUGAAAUGCGCAGAUAUCAGGAGGAACACCGGUGGCGAAGGCGGAUCUCUGGGCCAUUACUGACGCUGAGGAGCGAAAGCGUGGGGAGCGAACAGG